UGGUGGAGUGAUUUGUCUGGUUAAUUCCGAUAACGAACGAGACUCUGUCCUGCUAACUAGGUUGUGUUUUCUCGGGUUGGUGUUUCUGGUGUUCCUUCUCGGGGCGCCGGCCCAAUCCACUUGUGAACACAACACUCUUCUUAGAGGGACUGGCGGCUGUUAGCCGCACGAGAUAGAGCAAUAACG
rnacentral:rRNA from 1 species